AAAUAUUUCAUUAGAAUGAAUUUAUUUUAAGUUAAUUCAUUAAUAAAUUAAUCGAUACUGUCAUGUCGAUAUAAAUUUUGAUUACGUUACCCACGGACUUGUUCCUAUAUUUUUUGCAUAAUAUAACUACAUGGAAGUUUAAUAUGUAUCAACAUCAAGUGUUUACCGAUGACAACCAAUGACGAUCACUAACCGCGUAACCACGUGUGUUUGAAUGCUUUAUAACCUACGAAUAGGCCAAUUUGAAAUUUUAUUUUAUUUAUACAAAGCAAUAUACUAAAGCAGCUAUAGAAAAAUGUGGAUUAUUAUAUAUGGUUUAUGCUUGUUAUUGUAAUGAAUAUUACUCUCUUAUACUAAAUCGAUAAUGAUAUAUUCGUAAAACACCAAGUAAAAUUAAAUUCGACAGCUAUAAGUGUAGUAGCUAUAAGUAAUACGAAAUAAGUAAUAUGAGUUUUAAUAAAAUUAAAGACAUUAUAGAAGAAGGAGAUGUAGUAAUUUUAUACUUGGGACCUGCUAAUAUGCAUUCUCUAGAAAUAAGUUCUCAAAUUCAGAAUAAAAAGGGCAAUAUGGUUGAUAAUGUCUUUCAAACAACAUAUGGAGCUCUUAAAGUUAUAUCACUUGUUGGACAAAAAUAUGGAACUAAAGUACAACUUUCACGCGGAUGGGCGUAUGUAUUACAACCAACGCCAGAACUUUGGACAUUAACAGUCCCCCACAGAACACAAAUUUUAUAUAGCCCCGAUAUAAGUCUUAUUAUAUAUUUAAUGAAUUUAACACCAGGAAGUAUAGUCAUUGAAACAGGUACAGGUAGUGGUUCCCUUUCACAUGCACUUACACGCACAAUUCGUCCUCAUGGUCAUCUUUAUACAUUCGAUUUUCAUGAACAACGUGUAAAUGUUGCAAAUGCAGAAUUCAAUAGACACGGACUCAGUGACUUUGUAACAGUAAGUCAUAAAGAUGUAUGUUUAGAGGGGUUUGGUGAAGAAUUAAAAAAUAAAGUAGAUGCAAUAUUUUUGGAUCUUCCACAUCCUUGGCUGGCAAUUGAUCAUACCUUGUCCGUUUUUAAAAAAUCAGGUGGAAAACUUUGUUCCUUUUCACCUUGUAUUGAACAAGUACAGCGUACAUGUAUAAAAUUAUCAACAAAGGGAUUUAUUGAAUUAAAUACAUAUGAGUGUCUACAAAGAGAAGUAAAUGUGCAGUACAAAAAUCUUCCUACACUGGAUUUAGAAUGUUUGAAACAUGAGCAUAUAACUGAAGAUAUGACACAGCAAAGUAAAAAUGAAAAGCACAAUCAAACAAAACUUCUUACUGUAACACAUGCUCACUCUUUACCUGGUCAUACAGGAUUUAUUACAAUUGCUACGCUGCCUCCGUCUUAUGCACGGAAGUCAGAAAUAAGUUUAGAAUCUAUAGACUGAUUAAAUUCUAAAUUAUGGCAAAAAAUCACAGAUUGCUCAUUACUUAUGUCAGAUCAAAAGUACGAUUUCAGCAAACGUCUCAUAACAUCCAACACUGAAGUUUUCCAAACUGUAGCUCCCUUUCCAUACUGAAUUGGUUGACUACUCACUUCUCGAUCUGCAGUAAGUGGAGUAUAACCAGUCAUGAGAAAAUGCAAUCGUGGUGUUGGGAUUAAUGGAGCGAUUAAGCCCACCAAAUCAUUGUUCAUGUAUGAAGGAUACCUAAAUACCCAAUAUUGAUGAUAUAUUAUUUAGUUAAAAAUAUAAUGACCUUUCUAGUUUCCAUACUUUUCAAUUCAAUCAACUUAUACUUUACCGAAGUGUAGCAGUGCUAACAGACAUUAUUGUAGAAACAAGUUGAUUUAUUUGUGUGAAACUUGGAUUUUGAAUGUGGAGUCUAUCUGUUGCUAUUCUGUUAAGUGCAGUAUUGUCUAAAACAACAACGCAAUCAGCACAUUGUGUCAAUCUCUUCAAUGUUAGCAGAGAAUUAUAUGGUUGUACUACCACAUCACUAAAAAAAUAACAACAUAAUUCAUUUUAUAAUCUACUUUGUUAAUAUUUUUCUCUAUGAAAUAUACCUUAUUUCAUCUUGAUUUGGAAA